rnacentral:tRNA from 1 species
GGUGCGGUAGCCAAGUGGUUAGGCACCGGUUUGCAAAACCGGCACACGUGGGUUCAAAUCCCAUCCGCACCU